rnacentral:rRNA from 1 species
ACGGAGGGGGCAAGCGUUAUUCGGAAUUAUUGGGCGUAAAGGGCGCGUAGGCGGUCUUUUAAGUCAGUGGUGAAAUCCCUCGGCUCAACCGAGGAACUGCCUCUGAAACUGAAAGACUUGAGACCGGGAGAGGGUGGUGGAAUUCCCAGUGUAGCGGUGAAAUGCGUAGAUAUUGGGAGGAACACCGGUGGCGAAGGCGGCCACCUGGACCGGUUCUGACGCUGAGGCGCGAAAGUGUGGGGAGCAAACAGG